GAUAAUCACAAUGAGGAGCAUAGUUCUCUAGAAGGUUUCAUUUUCUUCGGACAGUUUAAUUCAGGAGAACACUAUUUGACAAACUCUUUCACACCAACAAAUAUAUCAGGACGGAUAUUUUGGUCUAGAAAGAGCAUUUGGUCUACUUCCAGCCAGAGAAGAUCCACCAGGAGUUCUUGCCCCACGCAUCUGAGGCUUCCUGGCAGUGCUAGGCAUAGAGAAAUGACCAGGAGCUGAACAUCUCUACCUCCAGACCGACAGAGGGUCAUAAAUCUUGAAGAAUCAAGUAGGCACCUGAAGGGCCACAGUAUCUGCACUGAUUGCACUCAAGAUGAGUUCUAAGAAAAGACUGCCUUUUGACCAGAUAAAAUAUUUCUUCACAGAUCUCUGCACACACCUUCCCCGUUCCAACCUACAU
ensembl:lncRNA